GGUGGAAAUCGCCUCAUUCGGAACGCAGUGACUUUGUAGCCAUGAUCAAGUUUUCUACUUCGCAUAUUCUAGUGGCUUUGGCCUCUGUAGCCUUUAUUACUUUGACGAUAGAAACGGUAUGUUCGCCAUGGGCUCAAGCUACUCCACUUCCUGGUGUCAUUCAGAGUAAACAUGCUCGGAAUCAUGGAAAUACGGCAGACCUGAAUGCAACCCCACAUCGACCUAACCAUCCUCAGAGCCCUCAAGAGCAUCAGCAACAACAUAAACGACAGCAACACCGACGAGUACAUCGUCGACAUGCAGGGACACAAACAGGAGAAAAGCCUCGACAUUUAACGACUGCGUCGAAAUGCAUGGACACAAACAGGAGAACAGUCACGACAAGGGCAACGUCGACAUGUAUGGACACAAACACGCGACCCGUACCCAUGAGCUGAGAUCCAAGCAUCGGGAGUCGUGUAUAUUGAGCCAGAGAAUUUAUAGGAAUUGCGCUAAAGAAAAACUCCGCAACUGAGUACAAUCAUUAAAUAAAUAUUUCUCAAGCAUAUUAUGGCACCAGCGUUUUGCAGAAA